rnacentral:rRNA from 1 species
UGGGGAAUAUUGGACAAUGGGCGAAAGCCUGAUCCAGCCAUGCCGCGUGUGUGAAGAAGGUCUUCGGAUUGUAAAGCACUUUAAGUUGGGAGGAAGGGCUGCAAGCUAAUACCUUGUAGUUUUGACGUUACCAACAGAAUAAGCACCGGCUAACUUCGUGCCAGCAGCCGCGGUAAUACGAAGGGUGCAAGCGUUAAUCGGAAUUACUGGGCGUAAAGCGCGCGUAGGUGGUUUGGUAAGAUGGAUGUGAAAUCCCCGGGCUCAACCUGGGAACUGCAUCCAUAACUGCCUGACUAGAGUACGGUAGAGNGUGGUGGAAUUUCCUGUGUAGCGGUGAAAUGCGUAGAUAUAGGAAGGAACACCAGUGGCGAAGGCGACCACCUGGACUGAUACUGACACUGAGGUGCGAAAGCGUGGGGAGCAAACA